rnacentral:sRNA from 1 species
CUUCCGCCUGCUGCGGGCAGAUCCAGUGGAUAUGCGUAUCGACGCCGCCGGCGGUGACUAUCUUACCUUCGGCGGCAAUGAUUUCCGUCGCCGCGCCGAUAGGGAUGGUGACGUCAGGCUGGAUAUCCGGGUUGCCCGCUUUGCCAACGGCGAAGAUGCGUCCCUCUUUGACGCCGAUAUCCGCUUUCACGAUCCCCCAGUGAUCGACGAUCAGCGCGUUGGUCAGCACCAGAUCGACGCACUCCGCUGAGAGCAUUUGCCCCUGGCCCAUGCCGUCGCGAAU